rnacentral:rRNA from 1 species
UUGGAGGGCAAGUCUGGUGCCAGCAGCCGCGGUAAUUCCAGCUCCAAUAGCGUAUAUUAAAGUUGUUGCAGUUAAAAAGCUCGUAGUUGAACUUUGGGCCUGGUUGGUCGGUCCGCCUAACCGCGUGCACUGAUACGACCGGGCCUUUCCUUCUGGCUAGCCUCAUGCCCUUCACUGGGUGUGAUGGGGAACCAGGACUUUUACUUCGAAAAAAUUAGAGUGUUCAAAGCAGGCCUAUGCUCGAAUACAUUAGCAUGGAAUAAUAAAAUAGGACGG